rnacentral:miRNA from 1 species
AUCUUGGAAGCUAAGCAGGGUCGGGCCUGGUUAGUACUUGGAUGGGAGAAGCUGGGCUUGGCAGUGUG